GUGAGUUUAGUUUAUUUAAGAAUCGGUUAUUUUCUAUUCCCAGGUAAUUACUAGUUAACUUGUA
rnacentral:tRNA from 2 species